UACAGAGGGUGCAAGCGUUGUUCGGAAUUAUUGGGCGUAAAGGGAGUGUAGGCGGCCACGACAGUCUUCUGUGAAAUCUACGGGCUCAGCCCGUAACGUGCAGAGGAUACUACGUAGCUUGAGUGUCGGAGAGGAUAGUGGAAUUCCCGGUGUAGAGGUGAAAUUCGUAGAGAUCGGGAGGAACACCAGUGGCGAAGGCGACUAUCUGGCUGACAACUGACGCUGAGACUCGAAAGCAUGGGGAGCAAACAGG
rnacentral:rRNA from 1 species